rnacentral:rRNA from 1 species
UACGGAAGGGGCAAGCGUUGUUCGGAAUCAUUGGGCGUAAAGGGCGCGUAGGUGGUUCUGUAUGUCUACCGUGAAAGCAUACAGCUCAACUGUAUUUUGUCGGUAGAAACUGCAGGACUUGAGGGCUGGGAGGGGCUGGUGGAAUUCCCUGUGUAGCGGUGAAAUGCGUAGAGAUGGGGGAGAACACUCGUGGCGAAGGCGGCCAGCUAGACCAGUUCUGACACUGAGGCGCGACAGCGUGGGGAGCAAACAGG